rnacentral:rRNA from 1 species
CAUGUCCUUUUGAUUAUAAUUUAAGGUCUAAUCUGCCCACUGAGUAAUUGAAUGGCCGCGGUAUUUUGACCGUGCAAAGGUAGCAUAAUAAUUAGUUUUUUAAUUGAAAGCUGGAAUGAAAGAUUGAAUGAGAAAAUAACUGUCUCAAUUUAAAUUUAGUAUAAUUUUAUUUUUAAGUAAAAAAGCUUAAAUAAUUUUAAAAGACGAGAAGACCCUAUAGAGUUUAAUAAUUAAUAAUAAUUUAAAUUAUUUGUUUUUAAUAUUUAAAUAAAUAUUAAUUAUUUUGUUGGGGUGACAAAAAAAUUAAAUUAACUUUUUUUUUAUUUAAAUACAAAUAUGUAAAUUUUUGAUCUAAAAUUUUUGAUUAUAAGAUAAAAUUACCUUAGGGAUAACAGCGUAAUUUUUUUUGAGAGUUCUUAUUGAAAAAAAAGAUUGCGACCUCGAUGUUGGAUUAAAGUAAAAAUUUGGUGUAGAAGCUAAAUAUUUAGGUCUGUUCGACCUUUAAAACUUUACAUGAUCUGAGU